rnacentral:lncRNA from 1 species
GAGAAUUUGCCUCCUCUUCUGAUCUUCAAUGACCUUUGAAGCUCUAGCCAAUCUCUCUUUGGUGAUGUCGUGCUCCUUUGUUGAAGAUGCCAAAUCCUGACUGACCUUCCCAUAGUAGGCAGUAUCCAUCUCAAAGCGCUUUGCCUCCAAUGCAUGUCGCUUAUCUUGAUCUUCCAUCCUCACUCUGAUCUCCUGGUUGGCCGUCUGAAUCCGAGCAACACUCAUCUCCAAUUCAGCUUUUUCCGC